UACGGAGGGUGCAAGCGUUAGUCGGAAUUACUGGGCGUAAAGGGUGCGUAGGUUGGGAUAUAAGUUAGAUGUGAAAUACCGUUGCUCAACAACGGCCGUGCAUCUAAAACUGUAUUUCUAGAGGGAAAGCGGAGAAAACGGAAUUCCAUGUGUAGCGGUGAAAUGCGUAGAUAUAUGGAAGAACACCUGUGGCGAAAGCG
rnacentral:rRNA from 1 species